rnacentral:rRNA from 1 species
GAUGAACGCUGGCGGCAGGCUUAAUACAUGCAAGUCGAACGGUAACAUGUCGGAGCAAUCUGAUGAUGACGAGUGGCGCACGGGUGCGUAACGCGUAUGCAACCUACCCAUAACCGGAACAUAACGUUGAGAAAUCGGCGCUAAUAUUCCAUGUGUAUAUUUUGUGGCAUCAUAGAAUAUAUAAAGAUUAAUUGGUUAUGGAUGGGCAUGCGUAUCAUUAGCUAGUUGGUGGGGUAACGGCCUACCAAGGCUGCGAUGAUUAGGGGUUCUGAGAGGAUAACCCCCCACACUGGAACUGAGACACGGUCCAGACUCCUACGGGAGGCAGCAGUAGGGAAUAUUGGGCAAUGGAGGCAACUCUGACCCAGCCAUGCCGCGUGAAGGAAGACGGUCCUAUGGAUUGUAAACUUCUUUUAUCAUAGAGUAACCGCAGGGACGUGUCCCUGCCUGCAAGUAUAUGAUGAAUAAGCAUCGG